CCUACGGGUCGCAGCAGCGAGGAAUAUUGCACAAUGGACGCAAGUCUGAUGCAGUAACGCCGCGUGGGGGAAGAAGACCUUCGGGUUGUAAACCUCUUAUGGAGGACGAGUGAGGACGGUACUCCAGGAAUAAGUCUCGGCUAACUACGUGCCAGCAGCCGCGGUAAGACGUAGGAGGCGAGCGUUAUCCGGAUUCACUGGGCGUAAAGCGCAUGUAGGCGGUUGUGUAAGUCCGCUGUUAAAGCCCCCGGCUCAACUGGGGGAGGUCAGUGGAGACUACUCGACUUGAGGGCAACAGAGGCACGUGGAACUCCCGGUGUAGCGGUGGAAUGCGUAGAGAUCGGGAAGAACACCAGUGGCGAAGGCGACGUGCUGGGUUGCGACUGACGCUGAGAUGCGAAAGUGUGGGGAGCAAACGGGAUUAGAUACCCCUGUAGUC
rnacentral:rRNA from 1 species